rnacentral:rRNA from 1 species
CGGGUGAGUAACACGUAUCCAACCUGCCGAUGACUCGGGGAUAGCCUUUCGAAAGAAAGAUUAAUACCCGAUGGCAUAGUUCUUCCGCAUGGUAGGACUAUUAAAGAAUUUCGGUCAUCGAUGGGGAUGCGUUCCAUUAGCUUGUUGGCGGGGUAACGGCCCACCAAGGCAUCGAUGGAUAGGGGUUCUGAGAGGAAGGUCCCCCACAUUGGAACUGAGACACGGUCCAAACUCCUACGGGAGGCAGCAGUGAGGAAUAUUGGUCAAUGGGCGCUAGCCUGAACCAGCCAAGUAGCGUGAAGGAUGACUGCCCUAUGGGUUGUAAACUUCUUUUAUAUGGGAAUAAAGUGCAGUAUGUAUACUGCUUUGCAUGUACCUUAUGAAUAAGGAUCGGCUAACUCCGUGCCAGCAGCCGCGGUAAUACGGAGGAUCCGAGCGUUAUCCGGAUUUAUUGGGUUUAAAGGGAGCGUAGGCGGGUUGUUAAGUCAGUUGUGAAAGUUUGCGGCUCAACCGUAAAAUUGCAGUUGAUACUGGCAUCCUUGAGUACAGUAGAGGUAGGCGGAAUUCGUGGUGUAGCGGUGAAAUGCUUAGAUAUCACGAAGAACUCCGAUUGCGAAGGCAGCCUGCUGGACUGUAACUGACGCUGAUGCUCGAAAGUGUGGGUAUCAAACAGGAUUAGAUACCCUGGUAGUCCACACAGUAAACGAUGAAUACU